GACAGAGGGUGCGAACGUUGCUCGGAAUGACUGGGCGUAAAGCGCGUGUAGGCGGCCGUGCACGUCGGGUGUGAAACCCCGGGGCUCAACCCCGGGCGUGCAUUCGAUACGACGCGGCUGGAGGCCUGUAGAGGAGAGCGGAAUUCCCGGUGUAGAGGUGAAAUUCGUAGAUAUCGGGAGGAACACCAGUGGCGAAGGCGGCUCUCUGGCCAGGUACUGACGCUGAGACGCGAAAGCGUGGGUAGCAAACAGGAUUAGAUACCCUGGUAGUCCACGCCGUAAACGAUGCGCACUGGGUGUCGCGGGUAUUGACCCCCGCGGUGCCGAAGCCAACGCGUUAAGUGCGCCGCCUGGGAAGUACGGCCGCAAGGCUAAA
rnacentral:rRNA from 1 species